ensembl:snRNA U6 U6 spliceosomal RNA
GUGCUCGCUUCAGCAGCACACAUGCUAAAAUUGGAGCAAUACAGAAAAGAUUAGCAUGGCCCCUGUAAGGAUGACAUGCAAAUUGGUGAAGUGUUCCGUAUUUAA